rnacentral:lncRNA from 1 species
CCGAAGUGGUAUUGGGUACCAUAUGGGUGAGUGACCAAUAAAGUAUGGUACCAAUUCAUUACUGUACCAACACAUGGCUAUUAUUUUUUUUUCUUUUUUUUUUUAAUUUUAUAUUUUUAGUUACUAUUUUAAUCAUUGUGGCUUUCUAAUUUAGGAUUUUGAUGUUGUUUGAUGUCAUUUUUGUCACCAAAUAGAUUUAAAGUACAAUUAAUGCAAUUAUAACAUAAUUGAAUAAGCUCGCGUACAAA